rnacentral:misc_RNA from 1 species
AACAUCGCGCACCUGCGGGAACCUGCGGAAGGAUCAUUACAGAGUUGCAAAACUCCCUAAACCAUUGUGAACGUUACCUAAACCGUCGCUUCGGCGGGCGGCCCGGGUCCUUCCCGGCGCCCAUCGGCCCUCGCGGGCGCCCGCCGGAGGUAAACCAAACUAUUGCAUUGUAUGGCCUCUCUGAGUCUUCUGUACUGAAUAAGUCAAAACUUUCAACAAUGGAUCUCAGAUCGGAAGAGC